AAUGAUGGAAUUUAUAAAACUUGCUAACUUACCAGGUGGUAGAUAGUUAUUAAAGUUGGGGAGGGUGGAGAAGAUACUAAAUGUCAUGGAUUGGUAUGGGUGUGAAUGACCUUUACAAGUUACCAUGAAAUCGACUCUCGAUUGCUGAAUACGUCACUUCCCUUGAGCAGUCCUUCGAGCUAGGUGGUUGCUCUCUGCCAUCUUCAGUGUUUUCUGUGUUUGUGUGUGAUAAAAGUAGUUUCCAUCUGUGUGAUAUACUUGCUCAUUUUCGUUAACACUUUUCUUGUACAAGUUCGUUGCUAGUGAAUGCUUUCUACAGGAGUUUGGCAAGGUUUUUAGUUACAUUGUUUAGUGGUUAUCAUGGCGUGAAUUGUGAUCAAAGUUUGUUGGGCCUGCAAACACUAAGACAAAGAAGGUUUACAGAAUAAAACGUACGCCAUUUGUGAAAAUAAACCUUGCUUGAACAUGGCAUGUUAAUGAUAGAUGAGAUGCACGUUUUUGUUUUAAUCACUUUUAUAAAACAAACAUUGCUUUACGGACUUUACAUGUUUCCAGUAAUAACCAAGGUCGUGUGAUCUGUUGUGGGCUAUAUAUACAUAAACUUCGUCACAACUUAUUAUAAAGUUCGAUGUUUUUCAAUACAAUCGAUUUCUUAGUGUUAGUGUGCAAUUCUCGUCAAACUUUAUGGGAAUGUUAGUGUUUCAUGGAGUCACAUUCGUUGUUACGUUGUGCACAGAAAAGGAAUAACAUUUAUUUAGAGAUAAAUGUGUGAUACAUCUUUAAAAACAUUAACAGUUUAACUCACAGUGAACUAUACAUUGACGUAGUGGUGAUGUAUUUUUUCUGUGAUCGCGUUCAUUU